rnacentral:rRNA from 1 species
ACACCUCGAANGGGGUGCUAAUACUGGAUAAGCUCCUUGUAGGGNAUCCUAUGAGGAGGGAAGGUAGCGGAAGCUACCGCUUAAGGAUGGGCCCGCGUCCCNUCAGCUAGUUGGUAGGGUAACGGCCUACCANGGCNACGACGGGUAGCCGGCCUGAGAGGGUGGUCGGCCACACUGGGACUGA